rnacentral:rRNA from 1 species
UUGUCUCAAAGAUUAAGCCAUGCAUGUCUCAGUACAAGCCAUAUUAAGGUGAAACCGCGAAAGGCUCAUUAAAUCAGUUAUGGUUCCUUAGAUCGUACCCACAUUUACUUGGAUAACUGUGGUAAUUCUAGAGCUAAUACAUGCAAACAGAGCUCCGACCGGAGACGGAAGGAGCGCUUUUAUUAGAUCAAAACCAAUCGGUGGCGGGUUUCCGCUCGUCAUCGUACAACUUGGUGACUCUGAAUAACUUUACGCUGAUCGCAUGGUCUAGCACCGGCGACGCAUCUUUCAAAUGUCUGCCUUAUCAACUGUCGAUGGUAGGUUCUGCGCCUACCAUGGUUGUAACGGGUAACGGGGAAUCAGGGUUCGAUUCCGGAGAGGGAGCCUGAGAAACGGCUACCACAUCCAAGGAAGGCAGCAGGCGCGCAAAUUACCCACUCCCGGCACGGGGAGGUAGUGACGAAAAAUAACGAUACGGGACUCUUCCGAGGCCCCGUAAUCGGAAUGAGUACACUCUAAACCCUUUAACGAGGAUCAAUUGGAGGGCAAGUCUGGUGCCAGCAGCCGCGGUAAUUCCAGCUCCAAUAGCGUAUAUUAAAGUUGUUGCGGUUAAAAAGCUCGUAGUCGAAUUUGUGUCCCGCGCCGCCGGUUCAUCGCACGCGGUGUUAACUGGCGUGCCGCGGGACGUCCUGCCGGUGGACUUAGCCUUUGCGGGCGGUCCAACUCAAUCCCACCACGGUGCUCUUUAUUGAGUGUCGAGGUGGGCCGGCACGUUUACUUUGAACAAAUUAGAGUGCUCAAAGCAGGCUAAAACUUCGCCUGAAUACGUGUGCAUGGAAUAAUGGAAUAGGAUCUCGGUUCUAUUUUGUUGGUUUUCGGAACCCCGAGGUAAUGAUUAAUAGGAACGGAUGGGGGCAUUCGUAUUGCGACGUUAGAGGUGAAAUUCUUGGAUCGUCGCAAGACGAACAGAAGCGAAAGCAUUUGCCAAAAACGCUUUCAUUGAUCAAGAACGAAAGUUAGAGGUUCGAAGGCGAUCAGAUACCGCCCUAGUUCUAACCAUAAACGAUGCCAGCUAGCGAUCCGCCGACGUUCCUCCGAUGACUCGGCGGGCAGCUUCCGGGAAACCAAAGCUUUUGGGUUCCGGGGGAAGUAUGGUUGCAAAGCUGAAACUUAAAGGAAUUGACGGAAGGGCACCACCAGGAGUGGAGCCUGCGGCUUAAUUUGACUCAACACGGGAAACCUCACCAGGCCCGGACACCGGAAGGAUUGACAGAUUGAGAGCUCUUUCUUGAUUCGGUGGGUGGUGGUGCAUGGCCGU